rnacentral:rRNA from 1 species
UACGAAGGGGGCUAGCGUUGCUCGGAUUGACUGGGCGUAAAGGGCGCGUAGGCGGUUCGUACAGUCAGACGUGAAAUUCCUGGGCUCAACCUGGGGGCUGCGUUUGAUACGUGCGGACUUGAGUGCGGAAGAGGGUCGUGGAAUUCCCAGUGUAGAGGUGAAAAUUCGUAGAUAUUGGGAAGAACACCGGUGGCGAAGGCGGCGACCUGGUCCGAUACUGACGCUGAGGCGCGAAAGCGUGGGG